GCAGGGGGAAGCCUACAGUGUCACUUGUCACCUUACUGAUUUUCUCCAAUUUGCUCCUUGAGACGUGCACGCGUGUAUCGAGCAGCUCCCUGCCGCCACAGUAAAGCAAAUUACGAGGAACAAAGGACAUUAACUUUCCGGUGCUGAGGAGCAAGGUAAC
rnacentral:lncRNA from 1 species